UGGGGGAUAUUGCACAAUGGGCGAAAGCCUGAUGCAGCGACGCCGCGUGGGGGAUGAAGGCCUUCGGGUUGUAAACUUCUUUUGCUCUGAACAAGGCGCACCAUGGGGUGUGUUGAGUGUAGGGGUUGAUUAGCGCCGGCUAACUACGUGCCAGCAGCCGCGGUAAUACGUAGGGCGCGAGCGUUGUCCGGAAUUAUUGGGCGUAAAGGGCUUGUAGGUGGCUGGUUGCGUCUGUCGUGAAAGCUCAUGGCUUAACUGUGGGUUUGCGGUGGGUACGGGCUGGCUUGAGUGCAGCAGGGGAGGCUGGAAUUCCUGGUGUAGCGGUGGAAUGCGCAGAUAUCAGGAGGAAUACCGGUGGCGAAGGCGGGUCUCUGGGCUGUUACUGACACUGAGGAGCGAAAGCAUGGGGAGCGAACAGG
rnacentral:rRNA from 1 species